rnacentral:rRNA from 1 species
GGUGCCCCCCUUGUGGUCGGUAUACAGGUGGUGCAUGGCUGUCGUCAGCUCGUGUCGUGAGAUGUUGGGUUAAGUCCCGCAACGAGCGCAACCCUUGUUCUGUGUUGCCAGCAUGCCCUUCGGGGUGAUGGGGACUCACAGGAGACUGCCGGGGUCAACUCGGAGGAAGGUGGGGACGACGUCAAGUCAUCAUGCCCCUUAUGUCUUGGGCUGCACACGUGCUACAAUGGCCGGUACAAUGAGCUGCGAUGCCGCGAGGCGGAGCGAAUCUCAAAAAGCCGGUCUCAGUUCGGAUUGGGGUCUGCAACUCGACCCCAUGAAGUCGGAGUUGCUAGUAAUCGCAGAUCAGCAUUGCUGCGGUGAAUACGUUCCCGGGUCUUGUACACACCGA